CAUGCUUAUAUAAUGUAAAGAAGCGUAGCUGAAUACUCGAGCUUUAUGCUGAAUAUAAAACAAACCACACCUCUGUUAUCAGGUAUAUAAUGAUCUGGCACUGUCCAUCUUCCAUCUGACACCCUUCAGCUGGAUCAUGGCACUGCAAAUCAUCUCUGUGGUUCUUUUCACUGUGUUUUUCUCUGAAGCUCUGACACUGAGAUGUUACAGCUGUAACACACCAGUUCCAUGCACACAAACUGCAAACUGUAGUUCUCAGAGUACACAUUGCAGCUCCUUCACCAGAAACUGUAAGAAUAACAUCACUAUGAAAUGUGUAUAACUGGUAAGAAAUGUGUUACUAAACUGUUUUGCUUAUGAAUCUUCAUUAUUUUUAAUGUUAUUCUUUGUAGAUGGCAUUGUUACUAGCAUUAAGAAUUGCAGUGACUCAUGUGAUUAUUGGAGCGUAAAUGUUGGACAGCUCGGAAUGACCUCCCAGUGUUGUGAUUCAGAUCUCUGCAACAAUAUUACAGGUACUACUAAUGAAACAUUGGACUGUGAUGUUACUUACUCUACAUAACACACUCUAAAUCUAUGUUACUCUAACAAGUGUUACAUGUUUUUUUUUUUUUAAAGAUCAGUUUUAUAUUGAAUUGACAUUUAUUCUAUAUGGAUGUGUACAUGAAUUAAAGGGUUAGUUCUCCUCAAAAUUAAAAUUCAGACAAUGCUGACUGACUUCUUUUGAAGAAUAUACUCAUUGAGGUUUGAAGCUUUAAAAAGGACACCAAAGCCCCAUAAAAGUGGCCCAUACAACAUUUAUGUCAUUAUUCACUGAUAAGCUUCCUCUCUGGUGAGAAAGAUUUGAAGUUGAGGUCAUUCUGACAGCUUUUUUGAACCAGAUCAACUGAUUCAAUGAUUGCUCAAAGAAUGAGCCAUAUGUCACUUUUUAGAGGAUAACUGUUUAAUGAUUAGUCUGUUCCUCACGAAAAGCUGUUGGAUAGAUUCAGAAGAAUAUAUUGCACAAUAUGGACCACUUUUAUGAUACUUGUGG
ensembl:lncRNA